UACGGGGGGAGCAAGCGUUGUUCGGAUUUACUGGGCGUAAAGGGCGCGUAGGCGGCCACCGCAAGUCGGUUGUGAAAUCUCCGGGCUUAACUCGGAAAGGUCAACUGAUACUGUGCGACUAGAGUGCAGAAGGGGGCAACUGGAAUUCUCGGUGUAGCGGUGAAAUGCGUAGAUAUCGUAAGGAAGACCAGUGGCGAAGGCGGGUCUCUGGACAGUUCCUGACGCUGAGGCACGAAGGCCAGGGGAGCAAACGGG
rnacentral:rRNA from 1 species